rnacentral:rRNA from 1 species
UAGGGAAUCUUCGGCAAUGGGGGGAACCCUGACCGAGCAACGUCGCGUGAGUGAAGAAGGUUUCCGGAGCGUAAAGCUCUGUUGUUAUGGAAGAACGAGUGUGAGAAUGGAAAGUUCAUACUGUGACGGUACUUAACCAGCAAGGGACGGCUAACUACGUGCCAGCAGCCGCGGUAAUACGUAGGUGGCAAGCGUUGUCCGGAUUUAUUGGGCGUAAAGCGAGCGCAGGCGGUCAAUUAAGUCUGAUGUGAUAGCCCCCGGCUAAAGCGGGGCGGGUCAUUGGAAACUCGUUGACUUGAGUGCAGAAGAGGAGAGUGUAGUUCCAUGUGGAGGGGUGAAGUGCGUAGAUAUAUCGAGGAACACCAGUGGCGAAGGCGACUCUCUGGUCUGUAACUGACGCAGACGCUCGAGAGCGUGGGUAGCAAACAGG